GAUGAACGCUGGCGGCGUGCCUAAUACAUGCAAGUCGAGCGAACGGACGAGAAGCUUGCUUCUCUGAUGUUAGCGGCGGACGGGUGAGUAACACGUGGAUAACCUACCUAUAAGACUGGGAUAACUUCGGGAAACCGGAGCUAAUACCGGAUGAUAUUUUGAACCGCAUGGUUCAAAAGUGAAAGACGGUCUUGCUGUCACUUAUAGAUGGAUCCGCGCUGCAUUAGCUAGUUGGUAAGGUAACGGCUUACCAAGGCAACGAUGCAUAGCCGACCUGAGAGGGUGAUCGGCCACACUGGAACUGAGACACGGUCCAGACUCCUACGGGAGGCAGCAGUAGGGAAUCUUCCGCAAUGGGCGAAAGCCUGACGGAGCAACGCCGCGUGAGUGAUGAAGGUCUUCGGAUCGUAAAACACUGUUAUUAGGGAAGAACAUAUGUGUAAGUAACUGUGCACAUCUUGACGGUACCUAAUCAGAAAGCAACGGCUAACUACGUG
rnacentral:rRNA from 1 species